rnacentral:rRNA from 1 species
UUUUACAAUGAAGAGUUUGAUCCUGGCUCAGGAUGAACGCUAGCGGCAGGCCUUAUACAUGCAAGUCGAACGGUAACAUUGGUGCUUGCACCAGAUGACGAGUGGCGCACGGGUGCGUAACGCGUAUGCAACCUACCUUUUACUAGAGUAUAG